UGUGGCAUAAGCAAGUAUGAGUCCACUUCUAUCUAUGUAACUGAUUAUUAUAUUCAUUAAUUUGACGCAAACCCCUAAUGUGAAUAAGCUUGCUAUAAAGAGAACUCAUUUGGAGGCCAAGUUUAUAUAGUUUUUGUAAGGAAGAGGAGGAAAUUAAGCAUGUCUAUCAACAAAGGCACAACAUGUGUUUUGUUAGUGAUGGUUUUCUUUGUGUUGUCCAUGAAUUCUUGGUGUGAAUAUGGUGAAGCAACAAGAAUAUUAUUAGCCUUCUCUACAAGUACUCAAGCAACACAAAGGAUGGAUUACCAGAGCAGCAGCCACCGCCGGAGCACCAGGGCAUCGCCCCGUGGGGGCUAUCCUUCCCCGGCAGCAAAUGUGAAUGACCAUGUACAUCACUAGUGAUGAAUCUCUAUUUUGUUGUGGACUUAAAAUAUACUUUGUUUGAUUUUAUUUGUGUUUAUGAAAUUUCAAAUAUGAAGCAAUGAAAGUAAGCGUUAACUAGGCUUGUCUUUCCCAUGA